AUGCUUUUUUGUUCUAUAUCCGACUUGGAAUCCCCAGCGUACGGAAAGAAACAAGGGCAGGCCCAGGUCCAAGUCUUCACGUGGGCUGGAACCUUAGUCACCUCACGAUCCAGCAAGAUGCGCUGGACAGAACGCAGCCCUAGUCCGAUUUGUCUGCGAGAUCCUUGGCUCAAAUCAGGUCUAACUCAUCUUCAUUAAAGAGAAAUUCUUUGCGCACCCCGGGCGGCGUAGAAAAUCCGAUGUGGAGAGC
rnacentral:lncRNA from 1 species